CGCUGGCGGCGUGCCUAACACAUGCAAGUCGAGCGAGAAAGCUCCUUCGGGAGUUAGUAAAGCGGCGAACGGGUGAGCAACACGUGAGAAUCUACCCUUUAGUGAAGAAUACCCUCGAGAAAUCGAGGCUAAUACUGCAUACGUCCCUUCGGGGAGAAAGAUGGCCUCUUUGCUAUCGCUAAAGGAUGAGCUUGCGUACUAUUAGCUAGUUGGCGGGGUAAAGGCCCACCAAGGCAAUGAUGGUUAACCGGCCUGAGAGGGUGUACGGUCACACUGGAACUUAGACACGGUCCAGACUCCUACGGGAGGCAGCAGUGAGGAAUCUUGCGCAAUGGGCGAAAGCCUGACGCAGCGACGCCGCGUGGAGGAUGACGGUUUUCGGAUUGUAAACUCCUGUUAAGCGGGAAGAAAGCCUUGUUUUCUAAUACAAGCAAGGUAUGACGGUACCGCUAGAGAAAGCACCGGCUAACUUCGUGCCAGCAGCCGCGGUAAUGUCGU
rnacentral:rRNA from 1 species